GAGUUUGAUCGUGGCUCAGGACGAACGCUGGCGGCGCGCCUAACACAUGCAAGUCGAACGGAGCUUGUUUGUUUGAUUCUUUCGGGAUGACGACUUAUAAGUUUAGUGGCGAACGGGUGAGUAACACGUGAGUAACCUGCCCCAGAGUGGGGGACAACAGUUGGAAACGACUGCUAAUACCGCAUAAGCCCACGGAACCGCAUGGUUCUGGGGGAAAAGGAGCAAUUCGCUUUGGGAUGGACUCGCGUCCGAUUAGCUAGAUGGUGAGGUAACGGCCCACCAUGGCGACGAUCGGUAGCCGGACUGAGAGGUUGAUCGGCCACAUUGGGACUGAGACACGGGCCCAGACUCCUACGGGAGGCAGCAGUAGGGAAUUUUCGUCAAUGGGGGGAACCCUGAACGAGCAAUGCCGCGUGAGUGAGGAAGGUCUUCGGAUCGUAAAGCUCUGUUGUAAGAGAAAAACGGCACUCAUAGGGAAUGAUGAGUGAGUGAUGGUAUCUUACCAG
rnacentral:rRNA from 1 species